AUGAAGCAUUUCUUUCCAUUCUUGCAGACAACUGCAAGGAGCGAGGGAUUCAAUGCUGUGCUCAAGAAGUACGUGAACCCCAACAAUUCAUUGAUUGAAUUCGCAACUCAAUAUACUGCAAUUCAGGAGAAAGUAAUGGUGGCUGUGGCGAAAGAGCAAGUGGAUACAAUUUACAAAGAGGCAGACAUGUAUUCGUUGAACCCAAUCGAGUUACAGAUACGAGGGAUAUACACACAAAAUCUGUUCUCCAAGUUCCAGGUAGAGAUGAAGCUAAAGACUGCUUACGGAUGCGACACUUUACAAGAUGGAACCUUCAGGAUGUGGUCGCUCCGAGGCAUACUACCAAAGUAUGAGGAUAGGGACUACCAUGUGCAGGAGAACAAGGAUGAAGGGGUAUACUCAUGCACUUGCUGCAAGUUUGAUCGCGAUGGGCUAUUAUGCGCACACAUACUACGAGUAAUGAAACAGAUUGGAGUCUACGAGAUACCAAGGAGGUAUAUCCUGGAUAGGUGGACAUGGGAUCCAGAAGAGGAUCUUGUUCAGCCUGAUUACCAACAGCCAACAGUUAAGAAGGGUAUGAUAGAGGAAGGAAAAAAUAUCAUGAGAUAUACAUCUAUUCUGAAUGAUUUCAAGGAACAAGCAAAAGAUGCUUGCACUACUGAUGAGGGGAUGGCAUUGGCAAGGAAACAUGUUAAUGCUUUCAGAGACAACAUGGAUGCACUAAAAAAGAGGCAGCUAAAGAAAGCAAGAAAGGAAAAAGAUGAGGGAAAAGAAGCAUAA
rnacentral:rRNA from 1 species